GGGGCUGUACUGGUUUCGACAGCGUAGAUCUUUGAAAGUGUAAGCAUGUCGUGCGUUGGAUAAUUAGCACGUAAAUCUGAAUAUUCAAACUUUUAUAUGGCAAUACUCAGUAUGCCAUGGCCGCUUAAUCAGUGAUUAAGUAGUCAUUAGGGCCGCGUCCGCAAGGGGUUCUUCGGAACCGAGCAGGUUGACCUGUUACCAUGCUCCGCCGCCGACUAAUAAACCAAAACAGGUUGCUGCUGCAGGGUGUUGUGACUGCAGCUUAAGAUGAUCGCAACUAAGGAGCAGAUUGGUUUGCCGGUUCCCUGCCUGUUCCCGACAAUUAAUAAUCGGAUAAGCAUGUAGAAAGCUUUUGGAGGAUAUGUUUGGACGCGGGUUCGAGUCCCGCCAGCUCCACAA
rnacentral:tmRNA from 1 species